GAGGCAUUAUUUCUGACGAACAUCUUGAUGAUGCUGUAAAAAAUGCUGUUUCCGAGGUUGGUCCAGUUUAUGGGCGGAAGAUGAUGAAGGGUUAUUUGGAUAGCAAAUGUGGAUUUUCACUUGCCUCUGAGCAACGUGUUCGAAAUUCCUUGGCCAGGGUUUCACCAUUAUACCAGCAACAGCGUAACGCACGAACCGAAAGACUUACAAAUCCACAUCCAUACAUCGCAGAAUAUUUUGGCCACAAGUUGCACUUAGACCAGAAUGAAAAAAUAGCUAUGUUUGGUGUCACACAUGUUUGUGCAAUUGAUGGAUAUUCCAGGUUUAUUACUGCAUUUUCAUGUAUGCCAGUAAAAAACAAUGUCGUGAUUUAUGACAUGUUCAGAUCAGAGUUGAUCAUGGGAUGGAGUUUGUCCUCUUACUGUAUGUCCAAGAAAUGUUGGCUGAGUUCAGAACAAAUCAAGGUAGAGAUCCCCAUCGUCAAACAGAAUCAAAAAAGAAUCUUGUGAUUGAAAGAUUCUGGGUGGAAGUAAAUGCAAGAGUUAAUUACCCGAUUAAAUCAGCUUUGCGUCAAAUGGAGGAAAGAAAUUUAAUUGACAUGGAACUUGAGAAUGUCAAACAUUCUGUUUCAUCAGUCAGUUUGAAAGUAGCUUUUGUGGGAAUGGAGAAAGCAGUUCGGUCAUGGAAUCAUCAUGCUAUACCAGGAGUUGGAAGGCCAAUUGAUCUCAGAAACAACAACAAUAGAGUGGCAAAAGUGCCGUUGAACAUGAUUCCAACAUGCGAGGAGGCGGUUGCAAGGUAUGAAAA